CGGGCAAUAGCGCAGUUGGUAGCGCGCUAGGUUCGGGACUUAGAGGUCCGCGGUUCAAAUCCGCGUUGCCCGA
rnacentral:tRNA from 1 species